rnacentral:rRNA from 1 species
GAUGAACGUUGGGGGAGGGCAGAAUACAUGCAAGUCGAGCGAACAGACGAGGAGCUUGCUCCUCUGACGUUAGCGGCGGACGGGUGAGUAACACGUGGAUAACCUACCUAUAAGACUGGGAUAACUUCGGGAAACCGGAGCUAAUACCGGAUAAUAUAUUGAACCGCAUGGUUCAAUAGUGAAAGACGGUUUUGCUGUCACUUAUAGAUGGAUCCGCGCCGCAUUAGCUAGUUGGUAAGGUAACGGCUUACCAAGGCAACGAUGCGUAGCCGACCUGAGAGGGUGAUCGGCCACACUGGAACUGAGACACGGUCCAGACUCCUACGGGAGGCAGCAGUAGGGAAUCUUCCGCAAUGGGCGAAAGCCUGACGGAGCAACGCCGCGUGAGUGAUGAAGGUCUUCGGAUCGUAAAACUCUGUUAUUAGGGAAGAACAAAUGUGUAAGUAACUAUGCACGUCUUGACGGUACCUAAUCAGAAAGCCACGGCUAACUACGUG